rnacentral:lncRNA from 1 species
CUCUUGGGAAUUCACUAUAACCCCCUUGGAUUACAGCUGGUUGUUUUGCAAGCUCACAACCAAACUUGUUGUUUUACGAGCUAACAACGAACUCGGUCGGUUUUCCCAGGCUCACCGACUAGAACCAACCCCGAUUGUUUUCCCGGGCUCACAAUCAAACCCUUGAACACGUCGGUUUUAAAGCGGCUCACCAACCAACCUUUGUCCCCUUGAUUCAAUCCCCCGAUUGAACCAAGUAAAUACAAGUAGUAGAAGGAAAACAGACAAUAAGCUUCUCAAAAAGCAGAUAAAAAACAAUAUAAUCAAAGAUGAGUUUAGAAGCCCUCAAACGCUCUUAAGCUUAAGUAGAGGAAUGGCUUCUUGACUCUGGUCUCCUCUUGGAUGAGUGAUCGACUUGAAUGUAGGAGGAGGAAGCUUUGAAUGCUGGGAAGAAGUUGGUGGCGCAGUAAAUGCUGAUCUCCCCUUUUUCUCGUUUAAGAGCACUUGCAAAGCUUGAAGACUUGAAUGCUUGGAGUGGAAUAUGUGUUCUCUCCCUUGCUACAGUCUUCUGUGGCUUUUUAAGCCAACCCCCACGGAAACUAGCCGUUACUCCACUUUUUCUGGCCGUUCUGCACACUCUGAGCAGCCUGACAAUGUGACCGUUGGUGGGUUGGAGUCGACUCGCGCGAUCAGGAGUCGACUCGGCUGUAGC